rnacentral:rRNA from 1 species
CCGUGUCGGAACCGCAAGGGCCAAGGCGGACCGAAGGCGAGCAUCAUGACUGGGGCG